GACGUAGGGGGCCAGCGUUGUUCGGAAUUACUGGGCGUAAAGGGUCCGUAGGCGGUGUGGCAAGUCGGAAGUGAAAUCUCUGGGCUUAACUCAGAGGCUGCUCCCGAAACUGCUGUGCUAGAGUGCGAGAGAGGCGAGUGGAAUUGCGGGUGUAGCGGUGAAAUGCGUAGAUAUCCGCAGGAACAUCCGAGGCGAAAGCGGCUCGCUGGAUCGCAACUGACGCUGAGGGACGAAAGCUAGGGGAGCAAACAGG
rnacentral:rRNA from 1 species